CCUACGGGGGGCUGCAGUGGGGAAUAUUGGACAAUGGGGGGAACCCUGAUCCAGCCAUGCCGCGUGUGUGAAGAAGGCCCUCGGUUUGUAAAGCACUUUCAGUGAGGAAGAACGCCUGGUGGUUAAUACCCAUCAGGAAAGACAUCACUCACAGAAGAAGCACCGGCUAACUCCGUGCCAGAAGCCGCGGUAAUACGGAGGGUGCGAGCGUUAAUCGGAAUUACUGGGCGUAAAGCGCGCGUAGGUGGCUUGAUAAGCCGGUUGUGAAAGCCCCGGGCUCAACCUGGGAACGGCAUCCGGAACUGUCAAGCUAGAGUGCAGGAGAGGAAGGUAGAAUUCCCGGUGUAGCGGUGAAAUGCGUAGAGAUCGGGAGGAAUACCAGUGGCGAAGGCGGCCUUCUGGACUGACACUGACACUGAGGUGCGAAAGCGUGGGUAGCAAACAGGAUUAGAUACCCUGGUAGUC
rnacentral:rRNA from 1 species